GAAGCUGCUCAAUUGUAGCAUCCUGCAUUAACAACCAACUGAAUUUCAGAAGUCCAAUGCAAUCAGUGUGCACUUAUACUGUGGUAACAGGAAUUGGAAGAACAAUUGCGCGCACGCGCACGCGCACACACACAUAUAUAGGAAGCCAGAUAGUUAAUGAACCAUAAUAACUAAAACAGAUCUGAUCUGUUGGCCAAAAAUAGCAUACAUGAGGAACAGGUCAAUAAAAUAAAGGAUCCAAAUUUAAGCCACUCAACUCAAGUGCCAAUUUAUGGGCUGCCUAAGCAGAUUAAGCAAUUGCUCACAACCAAAAGUAGCAAUCAGAAAAACCUGGUCAAACAAUAGCACAUAAGUGGAUGUUUAUAAUUCUCUACACAAAUUUACGAAGUGUAAGCCUAUAUCUUAUCCUAAAUAUGUGGAGUGGCAAUACAUGUAACCAUUCCACCACCCAGCCAGUUCAAAACAAUAUUUCCCUAAAGCUAAGGGUGCGUUUGGUAUUAUUGUAGGUUUUUCGUCUUUCAUUUCUAGAAAACCAAAAACUAUUUUCAAUUUUUGCUUCUUACCUUUCUUAUAAACAUUUGUCUUUUAUAGAACAUCAUCAACUUUUCUUUUAGUUGUUAUAGAAAAUGAAAUCCUGAAAUCCAAAAUGGCCAUCACAAAUUAUUUUCAAACUUUAAAAUCAAAUUCUGCAUCUCACUCAAAAUUCAAAAUGUGACAUUUAACUUAAUAUUAUUCAACGAUGAGAUAAUGUCUUGAUGGUGGAGAUGGGAUUGAAAAAUCGUUUACAAGAAAGAAAUAAUUGAACCAAUUUCUUUGGCAUUGCAGUCCAGAAAAAGGGAACAAGUGAAUAGAUGUUAUAAAUUUUCCGGCCAUCUUUGGAAAGAGAAUAAAACCUUCCAAGAUCAAAAGCAGAAAAAUUAGGGGGAAAAAAGGUAAAGAUAGAAAGAGACGUUAAUCAUCUAUAACAACGUGAAUACACCAGUAAAGAACACUGACUUUUCGAUGAUGGAAUUCAGUGUGCAACCAUGAUAAGAGCUCUCUAGAGAAUGAGAAAAGAUAAAAGUUUCAAAUGUAAGAAGUAUGAUUUAAUGGAUAAUGAUAAGAAAUUCAUAAAAAGAAUUAAAAGGAUUUAAAAAAAAGCGGUAAAGACAAUAGUGGGUUCUCAUGAAAACUGUCAAUAAAAAAAUGCAAACCAUCUUUCGUGGUUUUCAAAAAAAACCGUUUCUUGCUUUUAAAACGUUUUAAGAAAAGAGGUUAAAAAAUGAAAUGAAAACAAGCAACCGAAAAAGUUUUUGAUUU
rnacentral:misc_RNA from 1 species